GAGGGUAUGAUAUUGGCAAUGAUAUUGUGGGGGUAGUUGUUGGAGGGAAAUUAAUCGCUACAGUUUACAUUUUUUGGCAACCAUAACAAUUUACAAAAUGCCUAUUCCUUUUCAGUUUUGAAAUUUUUGUAGAAAAGAGAGAUCAAAAGUGAUAGUCAUGCUUGUUUUGUAUUGUAGAUGACAAUUUUGGUUGCUGCUUCUGUAAGACGUGAGCUGCCUACCAUCAACUGCUAUUCAGACCUUGAUAAAGCUUUGCAAAUUCUGACAUCUAUUGAUCAUAAGUCUAUUGAGGCAGUGAAGGUCUUGUGGACUUCUCAAGACGACGUUGAAGACUUCCCAUCUUUGAAACAUGUAAAGAACUGAUACUAUAAUUUCGCAAAUGUCUAUGUGAAGUUGCAAGGGACAAUUAUUUGAAUGAUAUUUAGUGAGAGAAUAUGCUUUUCAAGUUUUAGUUUCGUCAACAUAUAGUGACGGAAUGAAGAUUAGUUUUAAGCGAUAACGAAG